AAAAAAUUACUCAAGUGAUAUCUGCAGAAAUUGUUGUCUCUGAUCUCUUUAUUAAGAGGAACCUGUCAGCUCAGGAGCAACAAUCUUUGUCUACGUGGUAUCAGUUGAAACGCUUAGUUACUCAUAAUCAAGUUUUACCUAAUGCUAUAGAUGCAGUUAAGGAAGCCAGUAACGCAUGGAACAACCUCAUGAGUGCAGUAGAGAGGGAAAAACUUGAUGCAAAUGAUAGUUCGAUCGAGUCUUACCUAAUGCUAUAGAGGCAGUUAAGGAAGCCAGUAUCGCAUGGAACAACCUCAUGAGUGCAGUAGAGAGGGAAAAACUUGAUGCAAAUGAUACUUCAGUUAAGACAGGGAAACAGAAACAAUGCCCUCAUUUUCUCAGCAAAACCAAUGCUACAGAAAUUGAUGCCAGUGGCUUUAAGUUGCGAUU
rnacentral:lncRNA from 1 species